rnacentral:lncRNA from 1 species
CUGUUUCAUGAGGAUUAAAAGCAGUUGUGUCCACCUAAGUGAAAAAAGAAUCACCUGGGAGCAUUUAAAAACCGAUGCACUAGGCCCACUCCAAAGUUUCCACCUUCAGUUAACCGCUGAUUUAAAGUGCUUUUUCUCUGUCAUUAAAAUAACGUGACCUAAACUUACUGUGAGAGGCAAAUACUAAGAUGGAAUCUAUGAUCUCUAUCUCUGAUGUCCUCCACCCCUAUACUCAUCUCCUUUCAAGUGUGGCUGGGACAAACUUCUAGCCAAUAGAACAUAGCAGAGGUGAAAGAAUUUUGCAGAUGCAGUGUAGGUUCCGAGUCAGUUGAUUUUGAACUAAUCAAAAAGGAGGUCAUUUUGGUUGGGCCUGACUUAAUUAGUUGAAAACCCUUAAAAGACUAACCUAGCCGUCCCCAAUGAGAAGGACUCUCUCUCCUUCCAACCAGAGGGAUCUUGGAAGACGAUCUUUCCCUCGCUGAUCCUCUGAAUGAGAAUGCAAUCUAACAAGUAGAUUUCAGCUUCAUGAGAUCCUGAACAGAGGACCCAGGAAAACUUGAACCAGGGGGUAAACUGAGAUAGAGUUGGCCAGAGCCGGAAAUUAUAACAAGCUGUGAACAAUCAUUGAAGCUUCCUGAAGGUACUAGAGUGGUCUUUGCUGUGAUCUUCAGAAUUGCAUACGUUUUAUUAGUCAGCUGUAUAGAAGCGGGUACUAUGCCUUCUACCUAUCCCUGGGCCUCUAUGAUGGAGUGCCUACCAUUUUUCAGCCACUAUCCAGUAAAAUUGGUCUACAAGUGGCCACAUGACCCAAUUUUGGCCAGUGCAAUAAAAGUUGAAAUCUCUGAGUAGAGCUUCCGGGAAGACUUUCUAACAGAGAGAGGCUUGGCAGGCACACCACUUUGCCCUUCACCAUUUGUUCCUCUUUUUCCAAGAGCAUAUAAGGACAGUGAAAAGUCAGACAUCUGCAAGCCAAGAAGAGAGUCCUCAUUAGAAGCCAACCCUGCUGGACGUUGAUCUGGAACGUUAAGCCUCCAGAGCUAUGAUAAAAUAAAUUUCUGUUGUUUAAGCCACCAAGUCUAUGCUAUUUUGUUACGGCAGCCAGGCAGACUAAUACAGUGAGAUAAAGGAUAUGAAAGGGGAUGCAUGAGAUCAUUUUUGACAAAAGUGCCAAGACAAUUCAAUAGGAAAAAAAAGUCUUCAGCAAAUAGUGCUGGGACAACUGGGUAUCCACAUGCAGAAGAAUGAAGGUGGCCCCUUAUCUCACAGCAUAUACAAAAAUUAAUUCAAAAUAGAUCAAAGAACUAAGUAUAAGAGAUAAACUAUAAAAUUCUUAGAAUAAAACCGAUUUUAUAAGUAAUUUUAUAAAUCUUUGUUACCUGGAUUAGACAAUAUUUCUUAGAGAUAGCAUCAAGCAAAAGCAACAAAAGAAAAAAAUAGAUAAAUUGGACUUCGUCAAAAUUUAAAAUAUUUGUGCUUCAAAGGACACUAUUAAGAAAGUAAACGGAUAAUCACAGAAUGGGAAAAAGUGUUUGCAAAUCAUAUAUCUAAUAAGUGUCUAGUACCCAGAAUAUGUUAAGAACUCUUACCACUCACCAUUAUAAAUACAAAUAACCCUAUUUAAAAAUGGAUAAAGUAUUUGAAAUCAUAUGGUGUUUGUCUUUAUCUGUCUGGUGUAUUUUGCUUAACAUGAUGUCCUCAGGUUUCAUCCAUGUGGUUGCAAAUGAGAUGAUUUCCUCUUUUUUUAUGGCUGAGAAGUAUUGCAUUGUAUAUAUAUACCACAUCUUCUUUAUCCAAUCAUCAGUCAGUGGGCACUUGGGUUGCUGCCAUGUCUUGGUUAUUGUGAAUAAUGCUGCAAUGAACAUAGGGGUGCAUAAGUCUCUUUGAAUUGUUGAUUUCAAGUUCUCUGUGUAGAUACCCAGUAGUGAGAUAGCUGGCUCAUAUGGUAUUUCUAUUUUUAAUUUUUUGAGAAAUCUCCACACUGUUUUCCACAGUGGCUGCACCAGUUUGCAUUCCCACCAGCAGUGGAUGAGGGUUCCCUUUUCUCUACAACGUCUCCAACGUUUGUUGUUUUUUGUCUGGGUGAUUAUAACCAUCCUACCGAGUGUAAAAUGAUAUCUAAUCGUGGUUUUGAUUGGCAUCUCCUUGAUGAUUAGUGAUGUUUAGUAUCUUUUCAUGUGCCUGUUGGCCAUCUGUAUAUCUUCUUUGAAAAAAUGUCUGGUAAUAUCUUCUGCCCAAUUUUUGAUUGGGUUAUGUGUUCUUUUGUAGUUCAUUGGUGUGAGUUCUUUAUAUAUUAUGGAGACUAACCCCUUGUUGGAUAUAUGAUUUGCAAAUAUUUUCUCCCAGUUGCUGGGUUGGUUUUUCAUUUCAAUCUUGGUUGCCUUUGCCUUCCAGAAGCUAUUCAGUCUGAUGAAGACCCAUUUGUUUAUUUUUGCUUUUGUUUCCCUUGUCUGAGUAGACAUGGUAUUUGAAACAAUCCUUUUAAGUCUGAUGUCAAAG